rnacentral:rRNA from 1 species
GACGAACGCUGGCGGCGUGCCUAAUACAUGCAAGUAGAACGCAGUUGCGAACGGGUGAGUAACGCGUAGGUAACUGCCUCAUAGCGGGGGAUAACUAUGGGAAACGAUAGCUAAUACCGCAUACUGUGAGAUGGACCUGCGUUGGAUUAGCUAGGUGGUGAGGUAAAGGCUCAACAAGGCGACGAUACAUAGCCGGCCUGAGAGGGGUGUCCGGCACAACUGGACUUGGACCCGGCCCAGACUCCUAAGGGAGGGAACAGUAGGGAAACUUCGGCCAUGGAGCGAAAGCUGACCGAACAAAUGCGCGUGAGUGGAGAAGGGUUUCGGGUCGUAAAGCUCUGUUGUUAGAGGAGCGUUACCUAACCAGAAAGGGACGGCUAACUACGUGCCAGCAGCCGCGGUAAUUC